GCUGCGUUGGCCGAAGGUUAAGGCGUUGGACUCGAAAUCCAAUGGGAUAUUCCCGCGCAGGUUCGAAUCCUGUUCGCAGCG
rfam:Ciona savignyi cont_36263, whole genome shotgun sequence.